rnacentral:rRNA from 1 species
UACGUAGGGUGCGAGCGUUGUCCGGAAUUAUUGGGCGUAAAGAGCUUGUAGGCGGUUUGUCGCGUCUGCUGUGAAAAUCCGGGGCUCAACCCCGGACUUGCAGUGGGUACGGGCAGACUAGAGUGUGGUAGGGGAGACUGGAAUUCCUGGUGUAGCGGUGAAAUGCGCAGAUAUCAGGAGGAACACCGAUGGCGAAGGCAGAUCUCUGGGCCGUAACUGACGCUGAGGAGCGAAAGCAUGGGGAGCGAACAGG